rnacentral:lncRNA from 1 species
GUGAAGAUUACAGUGUUUUGCAUAAUAUAGGGUUGCCAUUAUCAUUGUCACCAGUUUCUUAAUGAGAAGGAAUUAGAGAGAUAGCAUCAUGUCCCUCCAUAGUGUUUCUAAUUCUUUGCCCUUAUAGUUAAUGCAAAAUCAAGUGUAAUUUUUAAUACAGUGUUUCCUGAAAAUACCAAGCUAAGAGGCAACCCUAAAAGACAAUUAUAUGGGAAUUGCAUAUGAAAGCAUUCCUCCACAUGAGAGCUCAGGUCUGUCUUGCAGAGUUUGAGUAUACAGUUAAGUCACCCAAAUCUUUCCGGUUAGACUUUUUGCCAGACAGUGUACAAUGCUCAUUCAACCCAUAAGGUUUUGGACAAUGAUUUAUCAUCUGGUUAAACUCUUUAAUGGUAAAGCAUUCAGAAGGGCAUUCUUUAGAGUUAACAUUCAACCAAGGCAUUGAAUUAAUGUUGUUUCCAGUUUUCCUGGCAAGCAGUAAAGUAAGUAAGCCUCCUUGGCCUUUGCAGAAUUGUUUUCGUAACAGAGAAAGAUCUCUUGGCCUAACUUCCCCAAUGCCCUGCCCUGCUUCUUGCUAGGUUUCCUGCUCCGGAGGGGCCGAGAAAGUGUACCAUCUGGGCAGAAAACAUUAGCAAGAAAGAGUCAGUGCUGCAAGGUCCUGCAGACAACCGAAUUGCAGCUUCCACUGCACUGCCCAGCCAGGCGAAGCAUGGAGAUGGGAGGGACUCGCUGAAAGCUGGCCCCAGUCAAGGACAGACCCAGGGCGGGGAAGUCUGCUCGAGUUUGAGACUAUGUCCUCUGGGCAGCAGUCCCAAAGCGAGGCUGCUGCAGCUCUGCAAGCUGUUCCCAAGCACUGGGCCCAGCAAACCACGCGCUGAUCUCAGGGCUCCGGGUCGCGCAAGUGCCACCCACCGUGUGACGGAAGCCCUGCGGCAAGGCACAAGUGGCCUUCUCCUGUGCCAGGGUGAAGGUAAGUACCACCGCCCCGGGGCCUAAGCAGCCAGGGUGGGGGCGGCCACUCUCUCACUUCCCCAAGCCUGCAAGCCAGCGCCUCGGCCACGCCACUCAUCGAACCCACCCAGAACACCCCUUCCCCGCUCCAUGGGGCGGGACCCACCUGUGCCAGAGGUCGCGACUCCCGAUUCAGCCAAGUGGACGAAUCGCAAGCGAGGAGAGCCUCGGAAGGCAGCCCUGCGCCCGCCCUUUUGCUUUCGGUCGCGAAACCGCCAGCCCCUCGCUCCCCCCUCCCCCGGCGCGAGGCCCCAUCCCCCGCCCGGAGGCCCCGCCCCGCUCCUUCCGGCCGGGGGGCGGGGCCUCGCGCCGAGCACGCAACGGGUGCCCGCGCGCGCUGGAUUCUUGGAAUCAUCAGGAUGGAGACGGGUCGCUGAGGUCGACUCCUAGCAGGUUGGGAACCAUCAGUCGCAGACAGCAAAAUAGAUGGACCCAUAAAACGAUGCGUGUAAGACCCAGGUCGCCUUGCUUGCCUUUUCAGGACUCCGCCUCGGAUGCUCCUAUUUUCGGUUCAAUCACUGAUUGGAUCAUCAGGGUGAUGGUAGCCUCGUAGAAUGAGCUUGGGAGUGUUCCUCCCUCUACAAAUGUUUGGAAGAGUUUCAGAAGCCCUCUAUAAAUGUCUGAUAGAAUUCACCUGUGAAGCCAUGUGGUCCUGAACUUUUGUUUGUUGGAAGAUUUUUAUUCACUGUUUUUCAAUUUCAUUACUUGUGGUUGGUCUUUUCAUACUUUAUAUUUCUUCCUGGUUCAGUCUUGGGAGAUUGUACCUUUCUAAGAAUUUUUCCAUUUCUUCCCUGUUGUCCAUUUCACUGGCAUAUAGUUGCUUGAAAUAGUCUCUUGUAAUCUUUUGUAUUUCUGCUGUAUCACUUGUAACUUCUCCUUUUUAAUUUCUAAUUAGAUUGAUUUGAACCAUCUCCCUUUUUUUCUGGAUGAGUCUGACAAUUUGUUGUAAAUCCUACAAAGUUUGCCUAGGUACUCAACUAGCACAAUUGGCUAUAUAGUACUGUACUAUAAUAGGCUUAUAAUACUUUUC